UGGUUGGUCAAGGAACAUUUUUUAUCUAAAAAGUUUAAGGAAUCAAGUACAAGAAACACAAUCAACAGGUCUAAGUUGUGUAUGCCUCAUCGUACGGGGAGGCAAAGAUGGUAAUCCACCAAACAUGGCAACUAUCUUCUUUGAGACUCGUAAAAAGGGAAAUGAGCUUGUCGAACCCGAAACCAAUGAAAA